GAUCAUGGGCUGCGUCUACUCCACCACAAUAGGCGCGGUUCUGAAAAUAAGGAGGAAAAAACAUUCCGUCAGAUUCACGGUGCGGCAGUGUGGAGACCUGUCGUAAUGCGGAGGGUCAAAAAACCUCCGCGAGAGCAUUUGCGCGGAGGCGCAAUGCUUAGAAUCAAAACUAUGGCU
rnacentral:ncRNA from 1 species